rnacentral:piRNA from 1 species
UUGGGUUCUUAGUGCUAUCAGUGGUAAUA